CUCCUGAUUUCACACUUUUCUUUCUCCAUCCUCCUUUUCCCCCCUUCUCAGCCGCAACACACACACACCUACGAACCAUGUUCAAUCUUCAAUCUUGUCUUCUUUUCUUUUAUAUCUUGAUGUAGGACUUUUGGACAGAUAGUGUUCGUAUUUCAGGUGUACUUGACUGUUCGUGUUCUUAUUGGUUGAUUCUAGGGUGCUUGUGCUUGUGCUGCUUUCAGAGUCUCUUGGAACAGGAGACUACUUGAAUUCGUAAAAACAAUAACAAAAUAUUGAGUGGACUCAAGAUUUUUUUUUUGUUGGGCUACUAAGAUGAUGCAGAAGUAAAACAAACGUUGAAGGUACCAAUUCAUAUUCAUAUUUACUGAUUGAGGUAAAUCUGC